rnacentral:rRNA from 1 species
AUUGAACGCUGGCGGCAGGCCUAACACAUGCAAGUCGAACGAGUGGCGGACGGGUGAGUAAUGUCUGGGAAACUGCCUGAUGGAGGGGGAUAACUACUGGAAACGGUAGCUAAUACCGCAUACCAUCAGAUGUGCCCAGAUGGGAUUAGCUUGUUGGUGGGGUAACGGCUCACCAAGGCGACGAUCCCUAGCUGGUCUGAGAGGAUGACCAGCCACACCUGAACUGGGAAAAGGUCCAGACUCCCUCGGGAGGGAGCAGGGGGGAAAUUUUGACAAUUGGGGGCAGGCCGGUGGCGACAUGGCGCGGGUUUGGAGGAGGCCUUCCGGGUGGAAAAUUAUUUUCAGCGGGAGGCGUUACCCGCAGAAGAAGCACCGGCUAACUCCGUGCCAGCAGCCGCGGUAAUAC